AUUUAAAUAAUUUAAGUAAAAUAUUAAUUUGUGGAAUUAAAAAUGUUUUUUAAACUUUAGAUA
rnacentral:tRNA from 1 species